CUAUAUAUACAAUAUGCUGUCUGCAAAUAAAAACCCUAAAGACUCCACACAAAAACUAUUAGAACUAAUAAAUGAAUUCAGCAAAGUAGCAGGAUACAAGACUGACAUACAGCAAUCUGUUGCAUUUCAUUGCAAUGAAAUAUCAGAAAGAGGAAG